AGUAACACGUGGAUAACCUACCUAUAAGACUGGGAUAACUUCGGGAAACCGGAGCUAAUACCGGAUAAUAUUUUGAACCGCAUGGUUCAAAAGUGAAAGACGGUCUUGCUGUCACUUAUAGAUGGAUCCGCGCUGCAUUAGCUAGUUGAUAAGGUAACGGCUUACCAAGGCAACGAUGCAUAGCCGACCUGAGAGGGUGAUCGGCCACACUGGAACUGAGACACGGUCCAG
rnacentral:rRNA from 1 species